rnacentral:rRNA from 1 species
UACGAGGGGGGCAAGUGUUGUUCGGAAUUACUGGGCGUAAAGGGAGCGUAGGCGGGCUCUUAAGUUGGAUGUUUAAAACCGGGGCCUAACCCCGGCGUGGCAUCCAAAACUGGGAGUCUUGAAUGGGACAGAGGCCAGUGGAAUUAGAGGUGUAGCGGUGGAAUGCGUAGAUAUCUCUAAGAACACCAGUUGCGAAGGCGGCUGGCUGGGUCCACAUAGACGCUGAGGCUCGAAAGCGUGGGGAGCAAACAGG